AGCAGCCGCGGUAAUUCCAGCUCCAAUAGCGUAUAUUAAAGUUGUUGCAGUUAAAAGCUCGUAGUUGAAUUUCGGGGUUAGUAGGUUGGUCAUGCCUCUGGUAUGCACUGGUCUCACUGAUUCCUCCUUCCUGAUGAGCCGUAAUGCCAUUAAUUUGGUGUUGCGGGGAAUUUGGACUGUUACUUUGAAAAAAUUAGAGUGUUUAAAGCAGGCAGUGAUUUGCUUGAAUACAUUAGCAUGGAAUAAUGAAAUAGGAUGGUGGUUCUGUUUUGUUGGUUUCUAGGAUCACCGUAAUGAUUAAUAGGGAUAGUUGGGGGCAUUAGUAUUCAAUUGUCAGAGGUGAAAUUCUUGGAUUUAUUGAAGACUAACUACUGCGAAAGCAUUUGCCAAGGAUGUUUUCAUUAAUCAAGAACGAAAGUUAGGGGAUCGAAGACGAUCAGAUACCGUCGUAGUCUUAACCAUAAACUAUGCCGACUAGGGAUCGGAUGAUGUUAAUUUUUUAAUGACUCAUUCGGCGCCUUACGGGAAACCAAAGUGUUUGGG
rnacentral:rRNA from 1 species